rnacentral:rRNA from 1 species
UACGAAGGGGGCUAGCGUUGUUCGGAAUCACUGGGCGUAAAGGGCGCGUAGGCGGCCUGAUAAGUCGGGGGUGAAAGCCUGUGGCUCAACCACAGAAUUGCCUCGAUACUGUUAGGCGUUGAGACCGGAAGAGGUAAGUGGAACUGACGAGUGUAGAGGUGAAAUUCGUAGAUAUUCGCAAGAACACCGGUGGCGAAGGCGGCCGCUGGGCAGUUGCUGACACUGAGGCGCGGACAGCGUGGGGAGCAAACAGG